UUAUCCCUGCGAUGUACGUAAAUGUGGACUAAUGUAAAACCAACACUUUUUUAAAGGGAAUUUUUCUCCGGAAGCGGCGCACAUGCCUCCCCAAUCCUUGAUUGCGGCCAGUGGACUUGUAAUGUUUUCGGGAUUUUACCCACCUGCCAUGCAGGUUUUUACCUUAUCCCGUAUACGGCAUAGGCGGGGAUUUU
rnacentral:other from 1 species